rnacentral:misc_RNA from 1 species
AACGCAAAUUGCACUCUCCGGUUUUCCGGGAGAGUAUGCCUGUUUGAGGGUCAGCCUAAAAAAAAUCGACAUUGUUGCUGUAUUUUAUGGUGACUUUCGUCGGAGAUGGGUUAUCUUAAACCUUUGGUUUAAGCGACUUAAAAUUUUUUUACGAUUCCACGAACGUUUCUAAGAUUUUCUUGUACGUUCAAGGUAUAUCGAGCGUCUUAUUAGACGUGGCCGUAAUAUCGGAUCAUGUCCAUAAUUUUUUUCGUUAACUGACCUCAGACAGGUAAGAGUACCCGCUGAACUUAA